CUUCGGUGAAGUCUGCUGUCAAGUUACUGGACACGUGGUAUUUGCACAACACUUCUGAAUCCGCAGCUUCGGUGUUUUAAGGCUGUUUCGAUAUGGAGAAGAAGUGGGAAGAGAUUUACGCGUUUAUUUCUGCGGGCUCCUACCCUUCAGGAUAUGACAAGGCUCAGAGGCAAAACCUCAGAAGAUAUGCCUCAAAAUUCCAACAAAAGGGUCAGUAAUUUAUUGUUAAUACUAACAACUCAUAUAUGUGGUUAAAUUAAUUUAUAAAUAUAUAUUGUUCUACUGCAGAUGGAGAACUCUUUGUUGGAACUAGAAAAGUAGUAAAAACCAUGGAUGAUGCCAGGAAGAUAUUUCAUGAGUUUCAUUCAUCUCCAAUUGGAGGACACACUGGCAUACACAAAACGCUAAGUGCAGUGUGUUCCAGAUUUUACUGGUUUGGUAUGACAGUUGACAUUAAAACAUGGGUAUGUAUUAACUGUUUGCAUUGUUGUUAAAUGCCGUUUAAAAUAAGAAUUUUUUUUUGAUAUCAGUUAAAAGAGAAACUGUACACUUGCAAAAUAUAAAUAAAUAUGAUUAAUUAGUGAUAUUACAGUAAUAACCUGUAGGCCUGGCAGAGAUUUGAAGACACACACAAAGUUUUGUUGCUAAAUUGUUUGUUCGUUAGAGAAUAUAUCAUUAAUGAUGUUUUUUUGGGUUUUUUUAUAAAUGAGAAUGUUGAACAUUUAUGUGAACUCCAUAAAUAUUUUUACCUUAAAGAUUCUGGAAUGUGACCAGUGUCAAAAAGUUGGGAAACCACUGACUGCUGUGCAACCGUUGCAGUGUAUUCAGGUGUCUGAAGUGUGGGAACUUAUUGGUAUAGAUCUUACUGGACCUCUUCCUAAAACGUCAAGCGGCUUCCAGUAUAUACUGACUGCAACUGACUACUUUUCAAAAUGGGUUGAAGCUUUCCCAUUAAAAACGAAAUCUGCAUCUGAGGUAGCCCAGCACUUGUGCUCCAUUAUAUAUAGACAUGGCUGCCCCAAAAGGAUUUUGUCAGACCAAGGCAGAGAGUUUGUGAAUGAAGUAAGUGUUAAAUAAUUUUCAGUUACAUUUUUUAACUUUAAUUUUUUUACUUCACUGGGGUCAAAGAUUUUUUCUUGUGUGCUUGUAUAAGAAGUAUAAGAACCUUGUCCUUAUCUGUUGAAGCUCAACUCUGAUCUUUGCAAGUUAUUGCAAAUUGAAAGAAGUGUCACAGCAGCAUACCAUCCACAGACCAAUGGUCUAGAUGAAAAGACCAAUGACAACAUAAAAAGGUAUGCCUAAUUUUUAUCUAUCAGUUUUUAAUAACAUUACUUAUGUUAUUCAAACUUAAUUGUUACUUAAUAAUUUAUUAUUUCUUUACUUCUAAUUAAACUUUCAUUAGUGUCUUUACAUAUUUCUAUGCCUGCAUUUAGAGCCCUCCGAAAACUGGUGAAUGACCAGCAGAAUAACUGGGAUCUGUAUCUAGAUCCCACCCUGUUUUCACUGUGGUCAAAAGUACACACCACAACAAAAUACUCACCUUUUUUUCUGAUGUAUGGAAGAGAGGCAGUAUUUCCAUCAGAAGUGCCUGCUCAAGUGCCGGUGAGUGUUUGUCAAAUUCUUUCUAUGUUAGAACUAAGAAUUGAAACCAUUUAAGUAAAAAACCCAGUAAUGUCUUUAUGAAUAUGAUAUCAUCUUGUUUUAAUUGCUAAUAUCUACAAAAUUUUAGAUUUCCAACAUCAUUCUGCCAGACGACAAAAGGUACAGUGACUAUGUACAGUCUGAAAGUGAAGCACAACAUGCAGUUAAAGAAACUGCACAAGAAAACAUUGCGAAGUCACAAGACAAGCAAAAGGUUGCAUACGCCAAGCGGGUCCUGAAAAAGUACAAAAAUGUUGUGUACAAUGUAGGGG
ensembl:lncRNA